rnacentral:lncRNA from 1 species
GUUGUAACAUAUUUGUUUUUCAUUCGUGAUUUUGUAUAUUUACAUAAGAUCGUUCGUUUUCUUGUUUAUUUUCUUUACCUUUGUCUUUCGGGGCCGUUAAUAGCUAAUUUUGCGUUAUAGGUUUUACUCAUUGUUGACGGUUGAAGAUUGAUUGAUUGAUUGUUGGUUGCUUAACGUCCACUCAUUGUUGAAGACCACACGGACAUAUAGUUGUUAAUUUCUGUGUCAUUUGUCUCUUGUGAAGAGUUGUAUCUAUGGCAAUCUUACCACAUCAUCUUUUUAUUUUUACAUGACUAUAUUUGUUUCCUUUUUUUUCGAGGGGGAGGGGAGGUACAUCAAAACUUGCACCAAUUUCUUUGUACACAAUGCACUCACUAACUUAUGAACACGUGAUUUGCGACCAUUUGAACAGUUUGCAAUAGGCAAUUGUAAUUUAUAAGAAUUGUCAGGGGAAAAAACAUCAUGUUCUAAAAUUAUUCAUUUCACCAUUUAUCGUAAUAAAUAAGUAUAUAUGUAAUGGAGGGUCUGUAAUCAAUUUACAUAUAACGAUAACGUCAACAACAUGUGGGAUGAGUUUCAAGUUAUCUAUAAAUUUAAUGAAUGGACCAUCAGUGGAAUUUCCUCUUUCACCAGGAAGUGAAAUAGAUAUGUCAUAUCCCACGUGAUCUGAUCGAUAAAAGUUCAGAAAAAAAUACAAUGAAUUUACCGUUUUAAAAAUGACAAUUGUUUUUUGUUUAUUUGAUCAGUUGAUUACUAGUAAUUUGAAUUUGAAUUGAUGUAAUACAAGAAAAGCACUUUUACUGAAAAAAAUGUUAAGAUAUUCAUACUGAUAUGAGGUUGAAUUGGGUUUACAGAAUAGAGAAAUACUGGACCAAGACUAUAGAAAAAUGGGUCCACAAAAUAUAAGAAUAUAGAAAAAGGACCAAAAAUUAAAGAAAAGAGAAAAGUGGGUUACUCAAAUAUAAAGAAUAGGAA